rnacentral:rRNA from 1 species
UACGUAGGGGGCAAGCGUUGUCCGGAAUCAUUGGGCGUAAAGCGCGUGUAGGCGGCUCGGUAAGUCUGUUGUGAAAGCCCCGGGCUCAACCUGGGAAUGGCAAUGGAUACUGGCAGGCUAGAGUGCGGUAGAGGGUAGUGGAAUUCCCGGUGUAGCGGUGAAAUGCGUAGAGAUCGGGAGGAACACCCGUGGCGAAGGCGGUUCUCUGGGACGGUACUGACGCUGAGACGCGAAAGCGUGGGGAGCGAACAGG